rnacentral:lncRNA from 1 species
AAAGCCAGAAGCUAGAUGAAAGCCCACACGAUCUCGCCAUUGGAGAGGAGGCUCCUGUUGUGUCUUUAGGCUCCUUGAUGAAAGAAGAUCUUUCUUUAAAGGGGCCUGCACAUGGUAGUAAAGCAGAGAACGAGUCCACAAGAUUUAGAAUUCAGGCACUCGAAAAGAAACUGGCAUCACUGAAACAUAGCCUCCAGAACACAUCAAAGGGUUCAGUCGAAACAGACCUGAAGACGGUAAGCUUUAGGUUGUUUGCUAUGGAGGGCAGCACCGUCGCAAGGAGGAAUCCCUUUGGCCAUGUUAGUGGCUGCAUUGGCUCUCUGAG